rnacentral:rRNA from 1 species
UACGUAGGGUGCGAGCGUUAAUCGGAAUUACUGGGCGUAAAGCGUGCGUAGGCGGUUCGCUGUGUCCGAUGUGAAAGCCCCGGGCUUAACCUGGGAAUGGCAUUGGAAACUGGCGGGCUUGAGUGCGGCAGAGGGGGGUGGAAUUCCGCGUGUAGCAGUGAAAUGCGUAGAGAUGUGGAGGAACACCGAUGGCGAAGGCAGCCCCCUGGGUCGACACUGACGCUCAGGCACGAAAGCGUGGGGAGCAAACAGG